CCCCCAAAACUAGAGUGUGCUGUUAUGAUAUGGUGUAAAGGAAGAGUGAAGCUUGAAAUGACAAAUUGGUCUAGAGCAUGGUGGGAGAGGUAUGAAUACAGCCAACAAAUGCAGCUAUUAGAAAUACUAAGUCUCAUGGAGAUCUCUACUGACCUUUUGCUGCAACAACUUGGUGGUAACAGUAUCACCAAGGCUUCUCCCUGGGGACUACCACACAACUGUUCUUUCGAAAACAUGCUGACUCCUCCUUACUUUCUUCGUACCUGGUGAUCAGAGGGACCAGCCACGAUACAGAAUGUCUUUCUUUUUGGUGAUUGUUGACAUACUGCUGCUUGUUC